rnacentral:lncRNA from 1 species
CCCCGCCCCCCAACCGCAGGCUCCCGCGCGCCACCCCGAGGGGACGGGCGCCACCUCCUGCUACGCGGCACCCGGUCCCGUCAACCGCCCAACGGCUGAGGAGUGCGGCAGCGCGCCAGAGACUGGCGGGCAGCUCCGCCCGCGGCCGGGAUGCACUAGGCAAAGCCAGCUGGGCUCCUGAGUCCGGUGGGUACUUGGAGAACUUACUACGUCUAGCUGGAGGAUUGUAAAUGCACCAAUCAGCAUGCUGUGUCUAGCUCAAGAUUUUCUCCAUCCCCUUAUUUUGGGCCAGUGGCUGUCAUUACAUAUGAGAUGAGUCUCUUGAAGACUACAGAUGAACUCAAGCUCCAUGAGGAGAUGUUUCAUUGUCGGUGAGCACAUUCUUGUCAAUUAGUUCCUUCUUGUUUCUUACUAUAGCCCCUGUGUCUAGAACCUUUCCAGGUAUUCAGUAGCCAUUUAAAAAUUAUUUGUUGAAUGAAUUGUUAUUUUAAAGAACAUCCACAAUUUUGCCUGACUGGGCAUGGGAAUACAUGCCCAUCUUUGGACUGAAUGUCCAUUUUUCCCUUCUUUGAUUUAUCAAAAUAUUGGUUAAAUGAUCAGGACUACCGUCAGAAGGAAUUUUAUAUCUAAAAAUAGUUUACCUUCUAUGGAUGUAAAAAAUAGUUGUAGUAGUUCUGGCUUUUAUAUUAUUCGAUGUUUCAAAGCGGUUUUUUUUUUCCAUCACCAUAUUCUACGUUCUUGAAAAGUACUCGUUCAUGUGACUGCUAUCAUUUAUGCUUGUGCAGCACGUAGAUACAGGAGAGAAGAUAAGGAAAAUGCUUACCCUGUGUCUCCUUCCCUGUAACACAGUUUUUUUUACCAUAUUGAUUCUCCACUUUCUACUCCCUAAGUAAAAUUUUGCAACAGGCAUUUGGGAAACUCUGGAUACAAGAAAAAAAUUUUAAUAUUGUACAAAGAGACAAGAGGUGACUUCUUUUUUAUUUUUCAUUUAGAGUUUAUAGUUUAAUUAAAGAAAAUGCACAUAUAUCUAAAGAUAAUCAUGGAUAAUACACUCAUGUAAUUACUACUUUCAGUGGUUGUAACAACAGCCAAAGCACAAACAGAAAUGAGAAAGAAUUAUCAGCAUUAUGCAAGUACAUAUCCUCUUUAAGAAUUCCUGUUAUAGUGAAAGCAUUAAAAUAAUUGAACACGUACAGAGACCAUAUACUUUGUGAUCUUUUUAAAAAAGUAUUCAAAAUAUAUUUCUGUGUGCAAAACAUUUUCAUAAUGGUCUUGUUUAAAUGAAAGUAUUUAGAAUAGCACAUUGUAAAAUUAUGCUGCAGAGCACAAGUAUUUUUCUCUUUAGAAGACACAUAAUAAAAUAGAAUCAUCAGUGUUUUUUCAUAAACAUGAAUCUUUAGAGUGUUACUUGAUCCUGCAUAAUAAGGGUACUUUUUUGCUUAAUGUAAGCAUAGUAUACUAAUUCUUUUAAACUUCAGAAAGCAUAUUUACAGUCUAGGCAGAUGGGACAUGAAGGUCACACAGCAUGAGCAGUGAAAUAUCUCAUUUACCUAGAGUUCUAGAGAGAAUUUUAGGAACUCUUAUUUAUUAUCAGUGCAUAAACAAGAGUAAACUCUACAAAACUGUUUGCAAAACUCUCCUCUUUCUACUCAGAAGGCUUUCCCUAGAAUAAUCAUUAUGGAGUCUGUCCAUCCUUUACUCAUUCACUGCAUGGGGACAGGUGUUAGUUAUGAGAUUGGUGAAUUUAGAAAGCUAACCAAUUUCAUACCUAUUUUGGGAUUCUCAAUUCACAAACUUUUGUGCGUUUCUUAAUUAUUUCCUUUCUUUUUC